UACGUAGGGAGCAAGCGUUGUCCGGAAUCAUUGGGCGUAAAGCGCGCGUAGGUGGCCCUGUAAGUCCGUUGUGAAAGUCAAAGGCUCAACCUUUGAAAGCCGAUGGAUACUGCAGGGCUAGAGUACGGAAGAGGCGAGUGGAAUUCCUGGUAGUAGCGGUGGAAUGCGCAGAUAUCAGGAGGAACACCAAUAGCGAAGGCAGCUCGCUGGGACGUUACUGACACUGAGGCGCGAAAGCGUGGGGAGCGAACAGG
rnacentral:rRNA from 1 species